AGAGUUUGAUCAUGGCUCAGGACGAACGCUGGCGGCGUGCCUAAUACAUGCAAGUCGAGCGAAUCAUUAGGAGCUUGCUCCUGAUGGUUAGCGGCGGACGGGUGAGUAACACGUGGGCAACCUGCCUGUAAGACUGGGAUAACUUCGGGAAACCGGAGCUAAUACCGGAUAAUCCUUUUCCUCACAUGAGGAAAAGCUGAAAGACGGUUUCGGCUGUCACUUACAGAUGGGCCCGCGGCGCAUUAGCUAGUUGGUGAGGUAACGGCUCACCAAGGCGACGAUGCGUAGCCGACCUGAGAGGGUGAUCGGCCACACUGGGACUGAGACACGGCCCAGACUCCUACGGGAGGCAGCAGUAGGGAAUCUUCCGCAAUGGACGAAAGUCUGACGGAGCAACGCCGCGUGAACGAUGAAGGCCUUCGGGUCGUAAAGUUCUGUUGUUAGGGAAGAACAAGUACCGGAGUAACUGCCGGUACCUUGACGGUACCUAACCAGAAAGCCACGGCUAACUACGUGCCAGCAGCCGCGGUAAUACGUAGGUGGCAAGCGUUGUCCGGAAUUAUUGGGCGUAAAGCGCGCGCAGGCGGUUCCUUAAGUCUGAUGUGAAAGCCCCCGGCUCAACCGGGGAGGGUCAUUGGAAACUGGGGAACUUGAGUACUGAAGAGGAAAGCGGAAUUCCACGUGUAGCGGUGAAAUGCGUAGAGAUGUGGAGGAACACCAGUGGCGAAGGCGGCUUUCUGGUCAGUAACUGACGC
rnacentral:rRNA from 1 species